AGGAGCCGUAUGAUGCGAGAGUUUCACGUACGGUUCUAUAAGAGACCUGGGUGAAAUUCCCAGGUCUACUCGAC
rnacentral:ncRNA from 1 species